rnacentral:lncRNA from 1 species
AUGCCGCGGACGUUGACCGAACAACCGGAGAAAAACGCCCGCGCCUAGGGGCGGAAAUCACUUUCACGAAGGAAGAUAUGAAGGACGUCACCCCCCUCCAUGACGACCCCUUGGUAUCCAAAAAAUUCAGAUAUCCGGAAGUCAACUGAUUUUAUUUGGAUAUCCAGAAUUAUCAACCGUAUUCGGAUUUUAACGCAGAUAUUGCAGAUAUCCGAAUCCGUCUGGAUAAUAUCGGAAUUCGGAUUCGAAAUUCGAAUUCGGUGUACCAUUUAAGGCCUAGAUGCAAGCAUGAAAGUGACCUUCCAACUUACUUCCACUGUGGAAACUUUAGCCGCAAAUAUAGCCUACCAAUGACAUGUGAUCAAAUAAUGACAUAACUUGUUGACAGGAAAUGCAAUGUCAGAUAGUAUGUGUACUCAGGUGUGGAUCCAAUAAAGACACAGUUGGGACCAUUAAUUAGGCAUGUCAAUCGGACGAAUUCGAUCUGGAUACCUCUGUAUCCGCAUUCGAAUUCGUUUAGUAUUCUAAUAAUCCGAAUUUGUCCGAUUAUUAUUCGAAUUUCAAAUUCCGUAUCCAAAUUCGAAUUCGAGUAAAAUAUUCGAAUAAUAUUUACAAAAAACCAAAAAAAACAUUUUACUAUUUUUUUUAAUAAAAACCCUGUAAUACUUUAA